rnacentral:rRNA from 1 species
CCUACGGGAGGCUGCAGUGAGGAAUAUUGGUCAAUGGACGAGAGUCUGAACCAGCCAAGUAGCGUGAAGGAUGACUGCCCUAUGGGUUGUAAACUUCUUUUAUAUGGGAAUAAAAUGUUCCACGUGUGGGUUUUUGUAUGUACCAUAUGAAUAAGGAUCGGCUAACUCCGUGCCAGCAGCCGCGGUAAUACGGAGGAUCCGAGCGUUAUCCGGAUUUAUUGGGUUUAAAGGGAGCGUAGGUGGAUUGUUAAGUCAGUUGUGAAAGUUUGCGGCUCAACCGUAAAAUUGCAGUUGAAACUGGCAGUCUUGAGUACAGUAGAGGUGGGCGGAAUUCGUGGUGUAGCGGUGAAAUGCUUAGAUAUCACGAAGAACUCCGAUUGCGAAGGCAGUUCACGGGACUGCAACUGACACUGAGGCUCGAAAGUGUGGGUAUCAAACAGGAUUAGAUACCCUGGUAGUC